AUGAUAUCCAAGGGACAGUUGAAAAAGACCAAAACUGUAGGAUUUAGAUCAAGGCUUUAUGUCAAGUCCUUGUAUCAAAGGGGGCUGGGGUGGCGGGCGGCCUUGCCAGGGUCCUCGCAGGUCCUCGGCGGGCCCGGGGGAGGGCCCUCUUUUGUGGCUGCAGUUGGCAAAAAGGCACCGAUGAGGGUGGAGAAGAAGCUGCUGCUGGGCCCCAACGGGUCUGCAGUGGAGGCCGCCAGUGACCUGACCAGUGAGGAGGAGGAGGGCCAGAGCCUAUGGUCCUCAAUCCUGAGCGAAGUGUGUCCACCCGCGCCAGGUCCAAGCUGCCGUCUGGCAAGGACAUCCUGGUCUUCGGUGAAGAUGGUUCUGGUAAAACAACCCUCAUGACUAAACUACAAGGAGCUGAGCAUAGCAAAAAAGGAAGAGGCCUAGAGUAUCUCUACCUCAGCAUCCAUGACGAAGACCGAGAUGAUCACACGUUGCAAUGUGUGGAUUCUGGAUGGAGACCUUUACCACAAAGGCCUGCUGACGUUUGCAGUUUCUGCUGAUUCCUUUCCAAAAACCUGGUCAUGUUCGUUGCAGACACGUCUAGGCCUUGGACUGUGAUGGAAUCUCUACAGAAAUGGGCUAGUGUUUUACGUGAGCAUAUUGAUAAAAUGAAAACUCCACCAGAGGAAAUGAGAGAGUUGGAACUGAAGUUUAUGAAAGAUUUUCAAGAUUAUAUUGAACCUGAAGAAGGUUGUCAAGGUUCCCCAUAGAGAAGAGGUCCUCUGACCUCAGGCUCCGAUGAAGAAAAUGUUGCUCUGCCUCUGGGUGACAGAGUGCUGACUCAUAACCUGGGGAUCCCAGUGUUGGUGGUGUGUACAAAGUGUGAUGCCGUGCGUGUCCUGGAGAAGGAGCACGAUUACAGGGAUGAGCACUUGAACUUCAUCCAGUCACAUCUGCAGAGGUUCUGCCUCCAGGAUAGAGCUGCCUUGAUUUAUACAUCAGUGAAAGAAGAGAAAAACCUCGACUUGUUAUGUAGGUAUGUUGUUCAUAAAACAUAUGGUUUCCACUUUAACACACCUGCCUUAGUUGUGGGAAAGGAUGCAGUUUUUAUACCUGCAGGCUGGGACAAUGAAAAGAAAAUAGCUAUUUUACAUGAAAAUUUCACAACUGUAAAGCCAGAAGAUGCAUAUGAAGAUUUUAUUGUGAAACCUCCAGUGAGUAAGCUGGUCCACGACAAAGAGUUGGCAGCAGAGGAUGAGCAGGUGUUCCAAAUGAAGCAACAGUCACUCCUUGCCAAGCAGCCAGCCACUCCUACGAGAGCCUCUGAAUCCCCUGCAAGAGGAUCCUCUGGCUCUCCAAGGACCCAGGGUCGAGGCGGGCCAACCCGUGUGCCUAGUGCCUCCCCAGGCACGUCAGUAAAGAAGCCGGACCCAAACAUCAAAAAUAAUGCAGCAAGUGAAGGGGUGUGGGCCAACUUCUUCAACAGUCUGUUGAGUGAAAAAACAGGCUCUCCUGGAAGUCCUGGUGCUGGUGGCGUGCUGAGUACAGCCAAGAAGUCAGGACAAAAGACUGUGUUGUCAAAUGUUCAGGAAGAACUGGAUAGAAUGACUCGAAAACCAGACUCCAUGGCUGGCCUACUAAUAGAAAAUGGGUGA